rnacentral:lncRNA from 1 species
UCCAUCAUCAUCUGUCAACGAAGAAUGAGUAAGUAGUAGUAACAUUAAUCCAUGAUGGUGACGUGAUUUGUGGUCCUGGUAAUAAAAUUAAAUUCAAUGGUUGGGGAUGCAUCAUCCCAGCAGAGAGACUUGUACGUCACCAUCUACACUUAUUCCUACCCUAACUAAACUAUACUAAGGGAGCGACCUUGCUUCCAACAGGAUCACGAGGAACUGACAGAAACUGAACCACCAUCGGACCGGUGCAUAUCAUGUAGUACAUCUACACCACCUAAGGGGGAGAGACUAGUAAAGCUAUAUGGUACAUAUGAUCAUGGCCUGUGCAUGUGCGAUAGAUAGGCCAGGCACAUGUGAGGGUGUGAUGUGGAGGAGGAGCAUAUCUUAAAUGUGUUGUCCACUUUUGGACGACCCUAUUCUUGAAUUCCCUCUCGACUUAUUACUCCCGUCCUGCAUUAGGCAGUACAAUAAAAUUGACGUUAGUAUAUGCUACCUCUGAUCAUAUCAUAUGCUCCUCCCAGUCAUCCUAAACGAACGGAGUGAUGAUGGACCAAAACAAAAAAGGCAUUAGUAGCAGCAGUGGUAGUUGGCAUUCAGCACUAGCAACACCACCACCUAAAACCAGUUCAACAUCACCCACCUUCACUUCUGAAUUCUUCCAACUGCAUGCAUGGUAAAGCUGAAAACAAAUUAUUAAGGUGGUGAACUAUAUGUAUAUGUAUACAUAUACUUUCUGGUGCAAGUUGAAUGACCGGACAAUGUUCAUUUAUCUUUCCAUCCACACACUUGUACAGUCCUGAGCCAUAGGGAGACAAACUGGGAAUACCCAAACUACAAUGAGACCGCCACUGUUGCAGUUGAUGCACUACAAAAAGCUGUUGAAUUGGACCCUACUCUCAUGCAUCUCAUCAAUCCUUUCCUUUGUUAUCAAAUCCAAGCAUGUAAAACUGAAAUUAAUGCCAAGACUUUAAAUCCAAGUAGGUAGACUUUUCGCCCAACAAGCCUUGCAUCCACCGCACACCAGCUCAAACUAUUAAGGAAAAUAAUCAGCACCCCGUCCAAAUAUUAAAAAAAAAAAAAAAAAAAAAAAAAAGAUUCUCAUCCCCUUGAAUGUUUUCCACGUCUAUGCUUUUAGAUAAAUCCUUCCAUGAAUACUAGGCCAAUCAUACAAGAGAAACAGACACAGACACAUAUAAUUAUUAUUAUUAUUCCAGGCCAAUUAGAUACAGCACAUGCUGAUGAGUGACUUAUAAAGUCUUAAACAGGAAACAAAAGUGCAACCAGCAGAAAAGAACAUGCGGUAAUCCAAAGACAUACACAAAUAUAUACCCUUUAUGUUCGUGGAUCAUUCUCAAUGAAGGCAACGUAAAAAUUAUAAGCAAAGAGCGGUAAAAUGAUUUACAGAACACCUAAAAAGCAGCCCCAAAUGCAAAUACAACUAAUCCACGAAAGCAUGAUUUCAAAAAAAAAAAAAAAAAGGGAGGAAGAGUGUUAAUUAAUUCUAAUGAUGUGAACCUUUCAAACGCUUCAUCACGUCCAGUAGACUGGUAUUACAUGACUUCUCAAUAAAUAGCACCACAUUCGAGUCCAUGAUACAUGCAUCGCAGUCUGGAUAUGGAUCAGCUCUGUUUCCCAGUCCAGUCACUUGUCCUACCAUAGGCACAGGUCAAAUUACUUAAUGGCUUGCACACUUGCAGUACGCAAAUGAAGCUGAGUAUAGAAGGUAAAUACAAUGGGCAUAGAAUCAAUGCCAUCUUAGAAACACUCAACAAGAGGAUUGCACUCAACACCUUCACAUCAUCCUCAACCAUCAAUCCAAAGUUAGAUGCAUAAAUUUACUGAGAAAUGAAUAAUUU